GGCAGCAGUGGGCAGAUGUUUCAGGCCAGAGCAGAUUACCUGUUCCCAAAGUCAAAGGCUGACAAGCCAGCACGGUAUGCUGGUGACUGAAUGCCACUGCUGUGAUGAACCCAGUUGCCCAACACUGCAAAGCACAGGAAUUUUGCUACGUGAGGAGUACAGCUGGAGAGGAAGAAGAGAAGGGCUGAAGCAAGAGGGGAGUGAUAAAAGGAAGAAAACAGAGCAGGGAGACUGCCUCAUCAUUAAUAUAGGGAGACAUGAGGACAAACAUACCGGAUAUCCCAAGGCGAGUACACAUUGGGACUGAAUGUAUUUCACUCACACGAGUGAAACUGAAGGGGAAUGGGGGGCUCUGUCCUGCUCGGACACACUCUGAACCCAUCUCCGCUUCCCCAAGUAGCCUCUUGAUAAUUAACUUAUAAGGAAGCCCAGGCAGGACAUUCUGCUCUCAUGAAGUACCAAGGGAGAACAGAUGUUUCCCGGUCUCAAAGGGACAAACUCAAGAGCGUAUCUUUUCAUACCACUGACUCGUGAGUGCAUCGAAAACAACAAAUCACAGCAAAGGGAACAAAUAAAGAAGCAGCCAGGGUAAGCAAGCAUCAAACUCCAGUCAGCCUCACAUGUAAUGCAAACGCUAUCAAACGUAUUUCACCAUUACAUUAAUGCAAUGACAUUACCAUUCCCCUAAAUCCACGCUGAUUACAGCUUGUGGGGAAGGGACAGAGGAGGCAGCCCACUGAAGAGCGCGUUUUAUUGUAACUAACCAGGCUCGCACAUUUCUCCCCUCCCACUCACUGGAAAAGCAGCUCUUUAUGAAGUCUGAAGCAUAAUUAGCCUGGUUUUGUUUAAAUCUGCAUCGCCGCACAGCCUGGCCCGAAGGAGCUCAUCAGCCGCGCUGUGCCCAUAUCCAGGGUGUUUAAAAGGCUGCUGGCCUCGAGAAGUCCAACUUUGGAAAGGAGAAAUAACUAACUAACGCCGCUGCACA